rnacentral:rRNA from 1 species
CCUACGGGUGGCAGCAGUGAGGAAUAUUGGUCAAUGGGCGUAAGCCUGAACCAGCCAAGUCGCGUGAGGGAUGAAGGUUCUAUGGAUCGUAAACCUCUUUUAUAAGGGAAUAAAGUGUGGGACGUGUCCUGUUUUGUAUGUACCUUAUGAAUAAGGAUCGGCUAACUCCGUGCCAGCAGCCGCGGUAAUACGGAGGAUCCGAGCAUUAUCCGGAUUUAUUGGGUUUAAAGGGUGCGUAGGCGGCCUUUUAAGGCAGCGGUGAAAGUCUGUGGCUCAACCAUGGAAUUGCCUUUUAAACUGGGAGGCUUGAGUAUGCUUGAGGCAGGCGAAAUGCGUGGUGUAGCGGUGAAAUGCUUAGAUAUCACGCAGAACCCCGAUUGCGAAGGCAGCCUGCCAAGCCAUGACUGACGCUGAUGCACGAAAGCGUGGGGAUCAAACAGGAUUAGAUACCCUAGUAGUC